GUACACGCUGUGACUAGCAUAUCAAUAAGCGGAGGAAAAGGCUGCCGAACUGAACGACCGCUACCUACGCUUAGGAUGUUGACACACGCGCGUGCUCGACUCUAUACAUGGCUCUGUGCAUAUCAAUAAGCGGAGGAAAAGAAACUAACAAGGAUUCCCCUAGUAACGGCGAGUGAAGCGGGAAGAGCUCAAAUUUGAAAUCUUAAAGGGUUUCCCUUUACGAAUUGUAGUUUAAAGAAGUGUUUUCUGUUGAGGUUUUGGUAAAAGUUCUUUGGAAUAGGACAUCAUAGAGGGUGAGAAUCCCGUAUUUGACCUUUGACUUUCAACUUUGUGAUACACUUUCAAAGAGUCGGAUUGUUUGGGAAUGCAGUCCAAAAUGGGUGGUAAAUUUCAUCUAAAGCUAAAUAUUGGCGAGAGACCGAUAGCGAACAAGUACCGUGAGGGAAAGAUGAAAAGAACUUUGAAAAGAGAGUUAAACAGUACGUGAAAUUGUCAAAAGGGAAGCGUUUGACACCAGUGUUGUUUUUCUGAAAAUCAAUUAAAGAACUGUUUAUGCUAAGUUGUUUAGACUUUAUCAGCUAACUGUUUAGUUUUGAGCUUUUCUUUAAUGCACUUUUCAGUUAACAAGUCAACAUCAAUUUCUUUUGCCUGUAAAAAAGCUUGAGGAAGGUGGCUUGAGAUUCGUCUUAAGUGUUUAUAGCCUCUUGCCUAUGCUAGUCGGAGAGAUUGAGGUCUGCAGCGUAGAUCCUUCGGGGCUAAAUGCAUUUGUGCUAAGUUAUAGCAUUUUAUAGACAACUUGUUGACUAUGAUUUGUCUUGUAGCUUACUCGCUUAUGUUAUUUUACCUACGCUUAGGAUGUUAACAGCAGUAUAGACUGU
rnacentral:rRNA from 1 species